AUUGAACGCUGGCGGCAUGCCUUACACAUGCAAGUCGAACGGUAACAGGUCUUCGGAUGCUGACGAGUGGCGAACGGGUGAGUAAUACAUCGGAACGUGCCUAGUAGUGGGGGAUAACUACUCGAAAGAGUGGCUAAUACCGCAUGAGAUCUAAGGAUGAAAGCAGGGGAUCGCAAGACCUUGUGCCACUAGAGCGGCCGAUGGCAGAUUAGGUAGUUGGUGGGAUAAAGGCUUACCAAGCCGACGAUCUGUAGCUGGUCUGAGAGGACGAUCAGCCACACUGGGACUGAGACACGGCCCAGACUCCUACGGGAGGCAGCAGUGGGGAAUUUUGGACAAUGGGCGCAAGCCUGAUCCAGCAAUGCCGCGUGCAGGAUGAAGGCCUUCGGGUUGUAAACUGCUUUUGUACGGAACGAAAAGCCCUGGGUUAAUACCCUGGGGUCAUGACGGUACCGUAAGAAUAAGCACCGGCUAACUACGUGCCAGCAGCCGCCGUAA
rnacentral:rRNA from 1 species